GUAGGUGAACCUGCGGAAGGAUCAUUAACGAGUUAGGGUCUCUGAGGCCCGAUCUCCCAACCCUUUGUUUACCGAACCUCCGUUGCUUCGGCGGGCCCGUCUUCACUGACCGCCGGAGGACUUGCCGAGAGGCGUCCUCUGGCCAGCGUUCGCCGAUAGCCAACCCUUUAAAUUCUGAAUAAAUCGUGUCUUGUGUCUAAGUAAAUGAUUUAAUUAAAAGUAAAACUUUCAACAACGGAUCUCUUGGUUCUG
rnacentral:misc_RNA from 1 species